rnacentral:rRNA from 1 species
GACGAACGCUGGCGGCGUGCUUAACACAUGCAAGUCGAACGGAAAGGUCCUGCUUUUGUGGGGUGCUCGAGUGGCGAACGGGUGAGUAACACGUGAGUAACCUGCCCUUGACUUUGGGAUAACUUCAGGAAACUGGGGCUAAUACCGGAUAGGAGCUCCUGCUGCAUGGUGGGGGUUGGAAAGUUUCGGCGGUUGGGGAUGGACUCGCGGCUUAUCAGCUUGUUGGUGGGGUAGUGGCUUACCGAGGCUUUGACGGGUAGCCGGCCCGAGAGGGUGACCGGCCACAUUGGGACUGAGAUACGGCCCAGACUCCUACGGGAGGCAGCAGUGGGGAAUAUUGCACAAUGGGCGGAAGCCUGAUGCAGCAACGCCGCGUGCGGGAUGACGGCCUUCGGGUUGUAAACCGCUUUCGCCUGUGGCGAAGCGUGAGUGACGGUAAUGGGUAAAGAAGCACCGGCUAACUACGUG